GAAAUAUUCAUACUAAUGUUGACAUUUAAUAUUGUAGACUUAAAGCAAAAGCAGUCAUUAAUUUUAAGUUUCAACACUUGGGCCCUUGUGCUUUAUUAAACUUUUGGACUUUAACCCAUGCUUAGAUCAUUUCAUUUGAACCUAAAAAAAACGAGCAAACAAAACACACACACACACACACACAUACACACCCCAAGAUCUCUAAUCGGUGGAGCACAGAGAAUGUUACGGCAACGAAGCUACUCUGCAUCCCCUCAACGGUGGGCCCAGGUCUUGGCACAUUUGUCCAAACCCUUAGAAUUCACGGCAGCAGAGUGAACCCUGAUGCACACGGUGGACUUUGGGCGGUGAAGGUGUGUCCACGCAGCUCAUCGACUGUAACAAAGACAUGUGUUCUAUGUGUGUAAAGAGCAGACUGUGUGUCCUGUGUCUGAAAACCACUUCGCAAGCAUCGCAAAUACUCAAAACACCUUGAUGAGAGGAGUGUUUACAACGAGGAGCUACGGGACUCCAAUGGGUUCCUGCCUUCUCCCCUCUCCUCCUCAUUCCCGGGGGAAAUGCCGACAGUCCGACCAACUGACCCUGGGAUGAGCGCUGGCCCCUCCGAUUUACAGCCUUUCCCUGCGAGCAGGAUGCUCCGUCCAUAUUUGCCUUCCUUCUCCCCCCUCGCCAGGCCUCUAAGUCAACUGAGACUCAGAAGCCAGAAUCCCCCCUCCGCCCGGUGAUCCCAGCGAAGUGUCUCUUCCUGGUCGCUGUAGGACUGGGCCCGACAACGCCCUUGGCAGGGGGCCGGCUCGGCUGGAGACCUUUCGGACCCUCCCCUGCCGCAGACCCCACGGCCGGCCUUCCAGGGUGGAAUCCGGCCCAGACCUGCUUCGCCAGGUCUCCCCUGGAACUGCCCUGCCCCCGUCCAACGUCCAACGGGCGGCCCCCUCCCAGCACAGCCACAGGUCUCAGGCCCGGAGCCCCGGGACGUCCUCCUCUCGUCUCCUCUGUGCCCAUGAAGCCCCCCUGACAGGUGUACCCCUCUGGGAGCCUCACCCAACCAUCACUUGGGUUUCCUUACCCUCAUCUUGAAUGCACCGCGGGCCUCAGUCAGACGAGGCGGGCACCUUGGGGGGGGGGGGUGUGCCCGAGACGCGGGCCCCGCUCAGAUGUCUGCUCCCACGGACCCUCCUGCAGGAUCCCCCGCCCCAGCCUCGCAGCCUCCCUGGUUGCCAUGGCGCCUGGCACACUGCCCGAGUUUAUAGUCAUUUCCCUGUGAGAUUACAAGCUCCUUGGAAUAGGUGGUGCUUUACUCAUCUUUUAUGCCCCACACGGGACAUUAUCUCAGAACGUCUGUUGAAUGAACAAGCUCAGCAGUUAGGGGCCCCAUCAGAGCAACUGACCUCUUGACCCGACGGAUGGAGGUGCUGUAAGCCCUCCCCUCGGUCAGCAUCGCACCAACCAUCCUGUGUCUUAACAAAAGGCCAGCCCGGCCGGCGUGGCUCAGUGAUUGACCAUCGACCUAUGAACCAGGAGGUCAGAGUUUGACU